CCCCGCUCCGCGCUCCUCACCCGGGGGGAACCGCGGGGCUCCUCGCGGCGCUCCCCCGCCCUCCUUCAUACCUCCCUGAAAAUUCACGAGAAGCCAAUUUUUAGAAACGCUUUCUUUUUUAAUCUAUGUUGUUUUUUGUUUUUUGGUUUUUUUUUUUUUAACCCCCAACGCGUCCCUCACGAAUCUCCUCCCGCCCCGCGGCCGGCGACAAAAUGGCAGCGCUGCCCGUCAUGUCGGGAGGGCUCCGCCGCAACCUCCGCAGCGCCUCAGCCCCGGCGCCAGCGGGGCUCCCUCACGGCCCCGCGGGGCCGCCCGCGGCCGAGGCAGCGGCGGCGGCGGGAGGAGGAGGAGGAGGAGGCGGCGGCCGUGAGGGGAAGGCGGGGAGGGGGGGGGCAGCACAGAACAUGGCGCCGCGUCCUACUUGCGCUGCGGCGCUGCCCCGCUCGCCUCACGGAGCACCCCCGGCCAUGGCGGUUGCUCGCCGUCGAGUCCCCCCCGCCACCUCCUCCCUUUCGCCCUCCUCCUCCUCCUCUUCCUCCUCCUGCUCGCCCAGGAGUUUUUAAACUUUAAAGCGCAGCUUCCGCCGCUCCGCGCCCGCCUUUGUCCCCCCCACCCGCCCCCCCGCCUCUCUCUUUCCCCGGAGCACACCGCGCUCGGUUCGGCCGCCGCGUCCCGCCGCGCUGCCCGCUGAGCAUCUGGAGAGAGGGAGAGAGAGAGAGAAAGGGCGCGUUCAUGAGGACUACAAAGUUACAAAUAUGGCUCCCCAGUCUCUCUUGCCUGAUCACUGCAAAGAAAUGAAGACGCACUUUAAACUAAACCAUUCGCAACUCACUCGCAGUCCCUGCCUGCCUCUCCCUAGCCCAGCACCCUGCACAAAUAUUUGCCAACUAAACACGCCGAGAGAGAGAGCAGCGAGCAACUUAUUUUUUAUUUAAUGCACGGCCAGCCCCUCUCCGAGGCAUCGCAGCCCGGCACGGGCAGGAGCAGCCCCGGGGAGCCCCCGAACGUCCCCGGAGCGCCCAAAGCGGGGGGCACAGCCCCCCACACACACAGGAGCUGCUGGAUGAGGAUCCAAGCCCAAGAGCUGCUCUUUUCCAAGAAUUUUGGGAUUUCCAAACUCUUCCCAUCAGCUGGAGCAGAACUCAGGGCAGGAUGGAGAUAAAGUCUCAGCUGUGAGCAUGGAAAAAUUCCAGGAAUGUGGAUGAAAACAGCAGGAAUUCCAUUGGGAAUGGGACUGGAAAAGCUGGGUCCAGCACCAGGUGUGUCCAGAGGUGACUCCUGGGCUGAAUCUUCAGGAAUUUUUCAUGGAAUUUGUGCUCCUGGUGCUGCUGGAAACCUUUGGAAAAGAACUUUUCUCCUGGAAAAAAAAUUCCUGGGACAAGCUGGGAUUCAAAAGGAAUUUAUGGGAAUCCAGAGCUGCUUUUUUCUUUGUUUUUUUCCAAAGAAAAAUGUGGAUUUUGAUUGUGUGAAGGUGCAAAAAAUUCCUUUUUCUUUCAUUAUUCAGGGAAUUUAUUCCCAGUUCCAAGCCAGAAUUCCAUGUUUAAAGCUGCUUCUGCCAUUGUUUGUAUUCCAAGAGGUUGGGAAUUAAAAAAAAAAAAAAAUUUGGGAAUUAUAAUUUUGGGAAUAAAUUUAAAAGGAUAUUUUUCUAGGCUAUAA